CAAUAGCGUAUAUUAAAGUUGUUGCAGUUAAAAAGCUCGUAGUUGGAUUUCUGAUAUCUUUUUUCUUCUUUUCUUGUUUACUAAAUUGUAAAUGUAAAGUUUGAUUGGAUAUCUUCCUUCCCUGUUAAUUUGGUUUUUAAGCAUUAACUUGUUUAUGGAUCAAAUGGGGAUCUUUUACUGUGAAAAAAUUAGAGUGUUCAAAGCAAGUAUUUAUUUUCUUGAAUACAUUAGCAUGGAAUAAUAAGAUAGGACUUUGGUUAUAUUUUGUUGGUUUGCAAACUGAGGUAAUGAUUAAUAGGAACAUAUUGGGGAUAUCUGUAUUUUUUAGUCAGAGGUGAAAUUCUUGGAUUUAAGAAAGACAAACUACAGCGAAAGCAUUUAUCAAGGAUGUUUUCAUUGA
rnacentral:rRNA from 1 species